GCUCGUAUGGCACAAUCGGUCAGCGCGUGAAUCUAAUACAGUACAGGAUCUUGUAUGUAUUCGAUUAGAGUUCAAGGUUCCAGGUUCGAGCCCUGGUAUGAGCA